GCAGCCGCCGCGGUAAUACGAAGGGUGCAAGCGUUAAUCGGAAUUACUGGGCGUAAAGCGUGCGUAGGCGGUGAAUUAAGUCUGCUGUGAAAUCCCCGGGCUCAACCUGGGAAUGGCAGUGGAUACUGGCUCGCUAGAGUGUGUCAGAGGAUGGUGGAAUUCCCGGUGUAGCGGUGAAAUGCGUAGAGAUCGGGAGGAACAUCAGUGGCGAAGGCGGCCAUCUGGGACAACACUGACGCUGAGGCACGAAAGCGUGGGGAGCAAACAGGAUUAGAUACCCGCGUAGUCCCUGUCUCUUAUAC
rnacentral:rRNA from 1 species